rnacentral:lncRNA from 1 species
UUUUAUUAUAUAAUUAAUUAAUUUAAAACUACAUACAUUUACAGGUAUAAAAAAAUUAUUUAUAUGCAACAUUUUGAUGAUUUGUCUAACAUUUUGAUGGCCACAGAAGGUCCACUAUGCAACUUUGCCUUAAAAACUAAGUCAAAUCCUCCUUCGCCUAACUUCUCUUUAAAAUCUGCAGCCAUCUUCUUGAUUUCCUUGUAUGAAUAUCUAAUAGGUGCCAAACUAUUUUGUUGAAGGUAAUUUUCAAUAUUUUCAUACAUUGAGGUAUAUCUUUUUCUCCAUUUACAUAUAAAAUAAAAAUAAUAAUUAAGAACGGCAAUCCAAACAAAACUUUGUAAGUCCAUAAUAUAGAGAUAUACCUGAGUAUAUACCUGAGAAUCUCUGCAAUAAAUUUUUACUUUAGUUACACACUACAAAAUGCAACAAGGUAUUUAUUAAAUUAAAUUUUCGUUCAUAAAAUCUAAAUGUUACAUAUCCAUUUACUUAGUAACAUUACAUAAAAAAAAGUAAAUUUAAUGUUUAGCAUAAACAAUUAUCAAUAAAUUUAAUUUUUGAUAUUACUCUAAAUAAAUUUGCCUGUAACAUUAAUGUGUCUUAAGACCUAAUCCAGUGAUGGUUGUAAAAUAUAAAAAAAAAAAACAGAUUUUUUAAAUAAUUUAUUUGUUUUUAUAAACUUUUUAAAUUUAACUGGUGUUUCUCUAACUUUUUUAAUUUAUUGAAAAUCACAAUACUUUAUCUUUAAUGUAAUUAAUAUUUAUUAUUGGUUAUUAAUCUUUAUUUAUAUCACUUUAAUUAAAAUUUUGAUUUUUUAUAUUAGAUGAAGAAAAUUGAAGAUAAUAUUUAGACAAACUCAAACUGAUUUUUAAAAAAAUGUGAAGUACAUAAGUUUUUAAUUUUUUUUAUAAAAGUUUUCAUAUUAGGCAUCUUGGCUCAAGCAACAACAAUCAUCUGUCAUCAUAUGAAAAAAUAUUACAAAAAAAAAUUAAAAAAAUAUAUGAAAAACUAGACCAAAACUCAUAUAUGUUAACAAAACUUAUAAGUAGACUAUACCUAUUUAUAAAAAAUGUUAAGAUCAGACUAGAUGGAAGUCUAUCAUCCCAAUAAAAUGAUUAUUUAUGAAUAAAUUUUAAAUUAGUGAACUUAUCAACACAAUCAUUCUCUUCGUAAAAGAUAUAUGAAUAAUCUUAAAUAAGAAGUAAAUUAAGAUGAUAAAAUGUCAAUUUAAGGAUGUGUUGAAAAAAAAAAAAGACGGUGAGAUAAUAAAGGUUGUGUUCGAUUAGUAUAAAUCACAUGAAAGAUUAUAAUGUAAUUGUAACAACAAAUUGAGUCAAUUCGAUUGAGUUGAGUUAAUCGUGGAUUAGAUAUCAGGUAUAUGAAAAAUUUGUAAAAAGAAACUAGUAUGACAACUAAUUCUGGUAGGGUGCUGAUAUAUUAAUAUUUUGAACAGUAAAAACAUACAUUUUAUAUCUUAAUAUAUUUUUAUUUUAUUUUUUAAUUUUAAUUUAAAAAUAUUAUUAUAUUAUUAUAUUAUUAUUAACCAUAUCAAAUAUGCAUAUUAACAGUAAAAACAUUACUGUUGACGGUGUUAACAAAUUUUGUUGGAUCAUCUUUAAAAUAUUUUAUGUAACUUUUUAUUAAUUAUUUGCUAAUAAAAAAAAGCAUAAAUAAAUUAAGAUGCAAAAGUUCUUACCUGUUACUUUCAUUCUUAGUCGUACCAGUCUUCCUGUAUCACCGAAAAACGAAAGAAAAUAUAAAUUUCAGAACUGUUAAUCUCAACAACUAUACCAACAAAGCUAGUAUAUGCAUGACGUUUUUUUUACAAGCAGCUUGUGUGCAUUAGUUCUAACAAAUACAUGUAAAAUAUAAAAAUUACAAAUUAAGAAUGGGAAUCCAAACAAAAUUUUGUAAGUCCAUACCAUAAAGAUAAUAAAAAUGACAAUUCCUGCAAAAAAAAUUUACUUGAGUGAUUAUACUGAUACUGUAAAAUGCAACACAGUAUUUAUUAAUGUAAAUUUUCGUUCAAGAAUGCAAACUUUACACAUCCAUUUACUUUGUAAAAUUUCAAUAAAUAAAUAAAUUUAAUGUCUAGCAUAAAAAAUUAUUAAUAGAUUUCAUUUUGUACGUUGCUACUAUGUAGCACAGACACUGACACAGACAUUGAUACGACACGGACACAAAGAUACGUAUAAUAUCUAAAAUGUAGAACACGGGGACACGAAUCUAUAGAUUAUAUAAUUAUGAAUUAUAUAAAUUAACAAUAAAGAUUUAUGUGCACAAGUAUGUUCUAAAUUAUUUUUUGGAGCAGAAAAAUGUUUUUCAUGACUGGUUCAAAAGAAUUUGUUUCUUAUUUUUAUAAUCAUAAUAAAAAUUUAUACAAUAAGUUUGAGAUUUUAAAAAAUUAAUGUAUUUUUUCUUUUUAAAAUUGUGUUAGAACCGUACUAGAACUGUUAGAAAUCCAAUAAAUACUUUUUGAAUUAGACACUUCACGGUACGUGUCAUAUGAGUGUCAAUGUCCGAUAUGAGUAUUCGACACCAACACGUCACUUAAGAGAAAUGUUUGAGUUUCACAGCGUUUGCUAAAGUAAACUGUGUGGAACAUUAAUGUGUCCUAAGACCUAAUUCAGUGAUGCUUGUAUAAUACAAACAUAUUUUUAAAAUAAAUUUCUUUAUAAACUUUUAAAUUCAUUGUGUUCCUCUAUAACCUCUUUAAUGUAUUAAAAUCACAAAUUUUUAAGUUAUUAACAUUUUAUAUCGGUUAUAAAUUAUCUCAAUAACCAGACAAAAAAGACUUUGCAUUUUGAAGUUUUGAUAAAGGUUGUGUUGGAGUAAUAUAAGUCACAGUGUACUCUCUUUUAUCCCUAUAUUCAUUGUUUAAUGAGGAAAUUGUGAUAAUAUUUACAACAAAGUUUUACUUGAGAGAGUAAACAUCACUGUAAAUAGUCAUUCUAUUACACCGUUAAUGUAAAAUGCAAUAAGCUAUAUACUAUUUGGUUAAAGAAAAAAUUAGUUUCUGAAAUAAAUAUCAUUCGAUUUGGUCUUGGAAGAUGAUAUCUAUAAGAAAAUUUUCUUUUAUGAGAACAAAUUGACUAAUGGUUGUCAAAGUUAAGAACUAAAUUUAUUAAUAAUUUUGUUUCAUGUGGAUUAAAAUCAACAAUUAUGCAAACUUUACAGGGACUACUUUUAAUUGUUUUAUAUUAUUUAAAUUGGCUAUAUUAUGCUACAUAUGUUACGAAAUCAUUUGUUAAAGUUAUACACCUAAAUAUAAUUAAUCUACAUUGAUUAUUUUACGUAGCGUAUUUUCGUUAAUAAAUUAAUAUUAACAAUCGGACCUAUGUAAUGAUGUUUUAUUAUAUAAUUAAUUAAUUUAAAACUACAUACAUUUACAGGUAUAAAAAAAUUAUGUACAACCAAGUAUGCUACUAAAUAAGGACGUCAUAUAGUAUCAAAACUAAUUCUUAUUACUAUUAUGCUAAAUCAAGUCAUUUACUAUUAUUGAAAAAAUGUGCUGACUCUUUUAUAAAUAAGCGUAACUUUAUAACGAUGAAUGGUUGUAUAAAAACUGUAAUCAAAUAUCUAAAACAAUGAGAGUUUGUAUUAAGACAAUUAUGUUUUAAAUUUAACUUAAAUUGAUUUAUUAAUAUGAGAUUUGUCUUAUUUAUAUAUUAUAAUUUAGUUAAUGAUAUGAUAUCUCCAACACG